UCCAUCUUCACCAUUUUUGCUCUAAAAAGCCGAACUCAACACGUCCAUGGCUAACUUCAUGGAUUCUUCAUCAAAAUCAUUAAUUGUUGAAGCAAAACACUCCUAAUUUUAAGGUAGCCAAGUCUGUUCAAGAGCUUCCAUGGAGCAAUUUGAUGGUGAAAUUGAAUGGAAAACCUUAGGCAUAGAUACCUCAUAAAAGGUUCAAUAAGGCAACCUACUAGCGGAUAAGGAGCUCGGGGAGCUUGGAAGGCAUUGUAAUUGAUCGAAGUUAUUGGAUAGCAAGCAGUGAGUUUAUAUUUUACCGUCGAUUAUUAAUACUUGC